rnacentral:rRNA from 1 species
GUCGAACGGUAGCGGAUGAAAGCUUGCUUUUAUUCGCGAGAGUGGCGGACGGGUGAGUAAUGCUUGGGAAUCUGGCCUAUGGAGGGGGAUAACAACGGGAAACUGUUGCUAAUACCGCGUAGUAUCGGGAGAUGAAAGGGGGCGUAAGCUCCUGCCAUGGGAUGAGCCCAAGUGGGAUUAGGUAGUUGGUGAGGUAAWGGCUCACCAAGCCUGCGAUCUCUAGCUGGUCUGAGAGGAUGGCCAGCCACACUGGAACUGAGACACGGUCCAGACUCCUACGGGAGGCAGCAGUGGGGAAUAUUGCGCAAUGGGGGGAACCCUGACGCAGCCAUGCCGCGUGAAUGAAGAAGGCCUUCGGGUUGUAAAGUUCUUUCGGUGAUGAGGAAGGUAACAUUGCUAAUACCAAUGUUAAUUGACGUUAAUUACAGAAGAAGCACCGGCUAACUCCGUGCCA